CGCGUAGGUGGAUGUUUAAGUCAGAUGUGAAAUACCUGGGCUCAACCUGGGAAUUGCAUUUGAAACUGGGCAUCUAGAGUACGAUAGAGGGUGGUAGAAUUUCCGGUGUAGCGGUGAAAUGCGUAGAUAUCGGAAGGAAUACCGGUGGCGAAGGCGGCCACCUGGAUCGAUACUGACACUGAGGCGCGAAAGCGUGGGUAGCGAACAGGAUUAGGAUACCCUGGUAGUCC
rnacentral:rRNA from 1 species